rnacentral:rRNA from 1 species
GUUCAACGGCCGCGGUAUUUUGACCGUGCAAAGGUAGCGCAAUCACUUGUCUUUUAAAUAAAGACUUGUAUGAACGGUAGAACGAAGACUUAGCUGUCUCCCCUUUCAAGUCAAUGAAAUUGAUCUAUCCGUGCAGAAGCGGGUAUAAAUAUACAAGACGAGAAGACCCUUUGGAGCUUAAGAUAAAAACCAACUAUAACUAAGCUUUAUAAAAACUGGUAAACAUCUUUGGUUGGGGCGACUACGGGAAAAAAUAAAACUCCCACGCAGACUGGUAAACUUACUAAAACUAAGAAAAACACCUCCAAGUCACAGAAUAUCUGACCACUUGACCCGGCACAUAGCCGAAUAACGAACCAAGUUACCCUAGGGAUAACAGCGCAAUCCUCUUCCAGAGCCCAUAUCGACAAGAGGGUUUACGACCUCGAUGUUGGAUCAGGACACCCUAAUGGUGAAGC